GCCAGGAUGGCCGAGUGGCCUAAGGCGCCGGAUUUAAGCUCCUGUCCUCCUAAGAGAGCGUGGGUUCGAACCCCACUUCAGACA